rnacentral:rRNA from 1 species
UACGGAGGGUGCAAGCGUUGUCCGGAUUCAUUGGGUUUAAAGGGUGCGCAGGCGGGCCAUUAAGUCAGGGGUGAAAGACGGUUGCUCAACAAUCGCAGUGCCUUUGAUACUGGUGGUCUUGGGUGACCUUGAGGUAGGCGGAAUGGGUGGUGUAGCGGUGAAAUGCAUAGAUACCACCCAGAACUCCGAUUGCGAAGGCAGCCUACUGGAGGUUCACCGACGCUCAGGCACGAAAGCGUGGGGAGCAAACAGG